UGCAAGUCGAACGAAGUAGCAAUACUUAGUGGCAGACGGGUGAGUAACAUGUAGGUAUCUACCCUUUGGCCUGGAAUAACACGAGGAAACUUGUGCUAAUACCGGAUAAGUCUUUACAGAGAAAGCUUUAUGCACCAUUGGAUGAGCCUGCACUUGAUUAGUUUGUUGGUGGGGUAAUGGCCUACCAAGACUUUGAUCAAUAGCUGAUUUGAGAGGAUGAUCAGCCACAUUGGGACUGAGACACGGCCCAAACUCCUACGGGAGGCAGCAGUGGGGAAUCUUGCACAAUGGAGGAAACUCUGAUGCAGCGAUGCCGCGUGAGUGAAGAAGGCCCUUGGGUUGUAAAGCUCUUUCGUCGGGGAAGAAAAUGACUGUACCCGAAUAAGAAGGUCCGGCUAACUUCGUGCCAGCAGCCGCGGUAAUACGAAGGGACCUAGCGUAGUUCGGAAUUACUGGGCUUAAAGUGUUCGUAGGUGGUUGAAAAAGUUGGUGGUGAAAUCCCAGAGCUUAACUCUGGAACUGCCAUCAAAACUUUUCAGCUAGAGUUUGAUAGAGGAAAGCAGAAUUUCUAGUGUAGAGGUGAAAUUCGUAGAUAUUAGAAAGAAUACCAAUUGCGAAGGCAGCUUUCUGGAUCAUUACUGACACUGAGGAACGAAAGCAUGGGUAGCGAAGAGGAUUAGAUACCCUCGUAGUCCAUGCCGUAAACGAUGUGUGUUAGACGUUGGAAAUUUAUUUUCAGUGUCGCAGCGAAAGCGAUAAACACACCGCCUGGGGAGUACGACCGCAAGGUAAAACUCAAAUGAAUUGACUGGGACCGCACAAGUAGUGGAGCAUGUGGUUUAAUUCGAGAUACGCGCAGAACCUUACUAUCACUUGACAUGUCGUCGCGACUUUA
rnacentral:rRNA from 1 species